rnacentral:rRNA from 1 species
GUGCCAGCAGCCGCGGUAAUACCGGCAGCACGAGUGAUGGCCGAUAUUAUUGGGCCUAAAGCGUCCGUAGCUGGCCGGACAAGUCCGUUGGGAAAUCCGCCCGCUCAACGGGUGGGCGUCCAGCGGAAACUGUUCGGCUUGGAGCCGGAAGACCCGAGGGGUACGUCCGGGGUAGGAGUGAAAUCCCGUAAUCCUGGACGGACCGCCGGUGGCAAAAGCGCCUCGGGAGGACGGACUCGACAGUGAGGGACGAAAGCUAGGGUCUCGAACCGGAUUAGAUACCCUUGUAGUCC